AGCAGGGUAGCCUAGUGGUUAGAGCAUUGGGCUAGUAACCGAAAGAUUGCAAGUUCGAAUCCCCCCAGCUG
rfam:Salmo salar isolate Sally breed double haploid chromosome ssa04, whole genome shotgun sequence.